GAUGAACGCUGGCGGCGUGCCUAAUACAUGCCAGUCGAGCGAACGGACGAGAAGCUUGCUUCUCUGAUGUUAGCGGCGGACGGGUGAGUAACACGUGGACAACCUACCUAUAAGACUGGGAUAACUUCGGGAAACCGUAGCUAAUACCGGAUAAUAUUUUGAACCGCAUGGUUCAAAAGUGAAAGACGGUCUUGCUGUCACUUAUAGAUGGAUCCGCGCUGCAUUAGCUAGUUGGUAAGGUAACGGCUUACCAAGGCAACGAUGCAUAGCCGACCUGAGAGGGUGAUCGGCCACACUGGAACUGAGACACGGUCCAGACUCCUACGGGAGGCAGCAGUAGGGAAUCUUCCGCAAUGGGCGAAAGCCUGACGGAGCAACGCCGCGUGAGUGAUGAAGGUCUUCGGAUCGUAAAACUCUGUUAUUAGGGAAGAACAUAUGUGUAAGUAACUGUGCACAUCUUGACGGUACCUAAUCAGAAAGCCACGGCUAACUACGUG
rnacentral:rRNA from 1 species